rnacentral:rRNA from 1 species
GUGCCAGCAGCCGCGGUAAUACGUAGGUGGCGAGCGUUGUCCGGAAUUACUGGGCGUAAAGGAUGCGUAGGCGGAUAUUUAAGUCAGAUGUGAAAUCCCUGGGCUCAACCCGGGAAUGGCAUUUGAAACUGGAUAUCUAGAGUGCAGGAGAGGAAAGCGGAAUUCCUAGUGUAGCGGUGAAAUGCGUAGAUAUUAGGAAGAACACCAGUGGCGAAGGCGGCUUUCUGGACUGUAACUGACGCUGAGGCAUGAAAGCGUGGGGAGCAAACAGGAUUAGAAACCCUAGUAGUCC